rnacentral:rRNA from 1 species
AUUGGGAAUGGGCGAAGCCUGACCCAGCAACNCCGCGUGGGUGAUGAAGCAUUGAGGUGCUNCAAGCCCUGUUAGGAGGGAAGAAUCUCCGCCAUCUGGCGGACUGACGGUACCUCCNUAGCAAGCUCCGGCUAACUCCGUGCCAGCAGCCGCGGUAAUACGGGGGGAGCAAGCGUUGUCCGGAUUUACUGGGCGUAAAGAGAGUGUAGGCGGGAAGAUAAGUCAGUGGUGAAAACUUGCGGCUCAACCGUAAGCGUGCUUCUGAUACUGUCUUCCUUGAGUACGGAAGGGGAAAGCGGAAUUCCUGGUGUAGCGGUGAAAUGCGUAGAUAUCAGGAAGAACACCAGUAGCGUAGGCGGCUUUCUGGUCCGUAACUGACGCUGAGACUCGAAAGCGUGGGGAGCAAACAGGAUUAGAUACCCUGGUAGUCCACGCCGUAAACGAUGGGCACUAGGUGUUGGAGGUUUCGACCCCUUCAGUGCCGAAGCAAACGCAUUAAGUGCCCCGCCUGGGGAGUACGGUCGCNAGGCUGAAACUCAAAGGAAUUGACGGA